UACGGGGGGAGCAAGCGUUGUUCGGAUUUACUGGGCGUAAAGGGCGCGUAGGCGGCGCAACAAGUCACUUGUGAAAUCUCCGGGCUUAACUCGGAGCGGUCAAGUGAUACUGUCGUGCUAGAGUGCGGAAGGGGCAACUGGAAUUCUCGGUGUAGCGGUGAAAUGCGUAGAUAUCGAGAGGAACACCUGCGGCGAAGGCGGGUUGCUGGGCCGACACUGACGCUGAGGCGCGAAAGCGUGGGGAGCAAACAGG
rnacentral:rRNA from 1 species